AGUGGGAUACCUGGGUCAAGUGGUAGUUUCAUUCCCAAUUUUCCAAGGAUUCUCCAUACUGCUUGACAGAUUGGUUGCACCAAUUUGCAGUCCCACCAGCAAU
rnacentral:pre_miRNA from 1 species